AGUCCCGUGGCGCAGUGGUAGCGCGUCGUUCUUAUAUUGGCCGGUUUGAUCACCACUAAUAUGGCUUGUUGCAGGCAAUGCGAAUGUCGCGGGUUCAAUCCCCGCCGGGACUA